CCUACGGGAGGCUGCAGUGAGGAAUAUUGGUCAAUGGACGAGAGUCUGAACCAGCCAAGUAGCGUGAAGGAUGACUGCCCUAUGGGUUGUAAACUUCUUUUAUAUGGGAAUAAAAUGUUCCACGUGUGGGAUUUUGUAUGUACCAUAUGAAUAAGGAUCGGAUAACUCCGUGCCAGCAGCCGCGGUAAUACGGAGGAUCCGAGCGUUAUCCGGAUUUAUUGGGUUUAAAGGGAGAGUAGGUGGGUUGUUAAGUCAGUUGUGAAAGUUUGCGGCUCAACCGUAAAAUUGCAGUUGAGACUGGCAGUCUUGAGUACAGUAGAGGUGGGCGGAAUUCGUGGUGUAGCGGUGAAAUGCUUAGAUAUCACGAAGAACUCCGAUUGCGAAGGCAGUUCACUGGACUGCAACUGACACUGAGGCUCGAAAGUGUGGGUAUCAAACAGGAUUAGAUACCCUUGUAGUC
rnacentral:rRNA from 1 species